rnacentral:rRNA from 1 species
AUUGAACGCUGGCGGAAUGCUUUACACAUGCAAGUCGAACGGCAGCACGGGUGCUUGCACCUGGUGGCGAGUGGCGAACGGGUGAGUAAUGCACCGGAACGUAUCCAAUAAUGGGGGAUAACGCACCGAAAGGUGUGCUAAUACCGCAUACGCCCUGAGGGGGAAAGCGGGGGAUCGUAAGACCUCGCGUUAAUGGAGCGGCCGAUGCCGGAUUAGCUAGUUGGUGAGGUAAAGGCUCACCAAGGCGACGAUCCGUAGCUGGUCUGAGAGGACGACCAGCCACACUGGAACUGAGACACGGUCCAGACUCCUACGGGAGGCAGAAGUGGGGAAUUUUGGACAAUGGGCGCAAGCCUGAUCCAGCCAUUCCGCGUGAGUGAGGAAGGCCUCGGUUGUAAG